rnacentral:rRNA from 1 species
ACAAGCGGAGGAGCAUGUGGUUUAAUUCGAUGAUACGCGAGGAACCUUACCUGGGCUCGAACGUAAGAUGACUGUAGGUGAAAGCUUACAUCUCUUCGGAGCAUUUUACGAGGUGCUGCAUGGUUGUCGUCAGCUCGUGCCGUGAGGUGUCGGGUUAAGUCCCAUAACGAGCGCAACCCCUACCUUUAGUUGCCAUCAGGUUAAGCUGGGGACUCUAAAGGAACUGCCUACGCAAGUAGUGAGGAAGGCGGGGAUGACGUCAAAUCAGCACGGCCCUUACGUCCAGGGCUACACACGUGCUACAAUGGCCGAUACAGAGGGCAGCUACCUGGUGACAGGAUGCAAAUCUCCAAAGUCGGUCUCAGUUCGGAUCGGAGUCUGCAACCCGACUCCGUGAAGUUGGAUUCGCUAGUAAUCGCGCAUCAGCCAUGGCGCGGUCGAAUACGUUCCCGGGCCUU